rnacentral:rRNA from 1 species
AAUAGAUACCCAGGUAGUCCACGCCGUAAACGAUGGGUACUAGGUGUCUGGGGGAGCGACCCCCUGGGUGCCGGCGCUAACGCAUGAAGUACCCCGCCUGGGGAGUACGGCCGCAAGGCUGAAACUCAAAGGAAUUGACGGGGGCCCGCACAAGCGGUGGAGCAUGUGGUUUAAUUCGACGCAACGCGAGGAACCUUACCUGGGCUUGACAUGCUGGAGAAAGCUUCCGGAAACGGGAGCCCCUCUUCGGAGUUCCAGCACAGAUGCUGCAUGGCUGUCGUCAGCUCGUGUCGUGAGAUGUUGGGUUAAGUCCCGCAACGAGCGCAACCCUCACCCUUAGUUACCAGCGGGUAAAGCCGGGGACUCUAGGGGGACUGCCGGUGCCAAACCGGAGGAAGGUGGGGAUGACGUCAAGUCAUCAUGGCUCUUACGUCCAGGGCUACACACGUGCUACAAUGGAUCAGGCAGAGGGUCGCCAACUCGCGAGAGUGAGCCAAUCCCCAAACUGGUCCUCAGUUCGGAUUGUAGUCUGCAACUCGACUA